UACGUAGGGGGCAAGCGUUGUCCGGAAUCAUUGGGCGUAAAGCGCGCGUAGGCGGCCCGGUAAGUCCGUUGUGAAAGUCCAAGGCUCAACCUUUGAAUGCCGAUGGAUACUGCCGGGCUAGAGUCCGGAAGAGGCGAGUGGAAUUCCUGGUGUAGCGGUGGAAUGCGCAGAUAUCAGGAGGAACACCGAUAGCGAAGGCAGCUCGCUGGGACGGUACUGACGCUGAGGCGCGAAAGCGUGGGGAGCGAACAGG
rnacentral:rRNA from 1 species